rnacentral:rRNA from 1 species
ACCGUGCAAAGGUAGCAUAAUCAUUAGUUUUUUAAUUGAAAGCUGGUAUGAAUGGUUGGACGAGAAAAUAACUGUCUCAAUUUAAUUUUUAUUAGAAUUUUAUUUAUAAGUAAAAAAGCUUAUAUGUAUUUAAAAGACGAGAAGACCCUAUAGAAUUUUAUAUAUGAAUAUACAUAUUAUUUUUAGAAUUUUAAUUUUUAUGUAUAUUAUUAUAUUUUGUUGGGGCGAUAGAAAAAUUAGAUUAACUUUUUUUGUGUUAAAACAUUAAUGUAUGAUUAAUUGAUCCGUUUUUUACGAUUAUAAGAUUAAAUUACCUUAGGGAUAACAGCGUAAUUUUUUUUUAGAGUUCUUAUCGAAAAAAGAGUUU